rnacentral:rRNA from 1 species
UUUCCUUUGGUAUAUCGCCUCAUUGAGUUGGCAUUGAUUUUUCCUGUUGCAACCGCGUCAGUGGAAAGAGCUUUCUCGGCAAUGAGUAUUAUCAAGACUGAGUUGAGGAAUAGCGUGAGUGAUGAUUGGCUGAAUUAUGGGAUGGUGUGCUAUAUUGAGCGAGAUGUAUUUGCAACUAUUGAUGAUGAUGAUAUUGUGCAUCGCUUUGAAUCAUAUAGGUCUCGCAAAGGGCUCUUACCUCGUCGAAGUGGUACGUUUUUAAUAUGUAUCAAUGGUAAUUGUUCCACUUGA